rnacentral:tRNA from 2 species
GCGUCUGGGGCUGGCUAGGUAAUGGUACUCCCCUGUCACGGGAGAGAAUGCGGGAUCGUAACCCGUCGGACGCGCCA